CGGAGGUGGCGAGCGUUACUCGGAAUUAUUGGGUGUAAAGGGCAAGUAGGCGGUUUGUUAAGUGAGGGGUGAAAUCUUCCGACUCAAUCGGAAAACUGCCUUUCAAACUGACAGACUUGAGUGUGGAAGGGGGAAAUGGAAUUCGCGGUGUAAGGGUGAAAUCUGUAGAUAUCGCGAAGAACACCAGCGGUGAAGACGAUUUCCUGGUCCAUAUCUGACGCUAAAUUGCGAAAGCUAGGGGAGCAAACAGAAUUAGAUACUCUGGUAGUCCUAGCCGUAAACGAUGAGCACUAGGUGUUGGGUCGUAAGACUCAGUGCCGCAGCUAACGCAUUAAGUGCUCCACCUGGGGACUACGGCCGCAGGGUUA
rnacentral:rRNA from 1 species